UACGAAGGGGGCUAGCGUUGCUCGGAAUCACUGGGCGUAAAGCGCACGUAGGCGGAUUGUUAAGUCAGGGGUGAAAUCCUGGAGCUCAACUCCAGAACUGCCUUUGAUACUGGCGAUCUUGAGUCCGGGAGAGGUGAGUGGAACUGCGAGUGUAGAGGUGAAAUUCUUAGAUAUUCGCAAGAACACCAGUGGCGAAGGCGGCUCACUGGCCCGGUACUGACGCUGAGGUGCGAAAGCGUGGGGAGCAAACAGG
rnacentral:rRNA from 1 species